CCAGCAGCUAUUUUAAAGCCUUUCUCUGUGUCUCUCUAUCCCUCCCACCUUCCUCUCCUCUCUCUAACAUUCUUCCUCUCUCUCCCCUCCCUCCCUCUUCCCCCUCUUUUCCUCGGCGUCUCAGGGCAGCAGCUUCUCUCUGUUUUCCUCUCCUCUCUCCCUGCGUGUCCAGUGACUGACUGCACAAUACACAUCAAUUAUUCAUGGCUGCUCUCUCCGUUUCGCAGGCAAAACCAAUCACAGAUGGAGUCAUUGCUAAUGGGCUCCUGCUGUACUUGCCACCGGCUUCUUUGCACUCAAGCAACAAAUACCCCAGAGACAAUGAGAGGGAAAACGGGAGGGGGGGGAGAGAGAGAGAGAGAGAGAGGAAACUUCAUACAGCACUAACAGCCACGAGGAGAAGAGGAGGACACACGUUUGUGGUCAGAGAGGAAGAAAGAUUCAGGCUUCCAAAAGUCUCCUCAGUGGACGACAGACACUGACUCGUCUGUCUCUGGUGUUUGGAUGGCUGACCCGCUGCUGCCAUCCCGGCCCCAUCAUGUGACUCACUCCCCUUCCCCUGUCACUCGGCAACGGCCCCGCUGGAUGUCAGGGAGUGGGUCCUGCCCAUGGGGCCCUGUGGGAGUGUCGUUUAAGAGCCAUCUCCCUUGGCUGCCAGAGAGGGCUUUCUCUCCGCCUUAACAACCUCCACGACUGGGACCUCCACUCUAAAAAGCUUCUGGGAGCUUUGCAGGAGAAUGCCUCCUCAGUGGUUUCCAUUGACUCUCUCCCUCUUUCUACAGGCCUCUCUUCUCAAAAUAUUCAUGCAUAUACAGGUACAUAAUUGCCCAUGAAAUGCACUUUGGGAUGCUGCCUAGACUCGAGUACUUGCCUGUUUCCAAAUGACUACUGUUGCAGGAAAUUAUUCAGACAGAGAAUCAAUUGGCAAUCUUAUCUAAGCCCAUAAAGUAGGGCCUGAGAUUUGAUUUAGCAUUAAGUAGAAUUAGAACAUUUGGCAGAGUAAGUUAAUUGCAGGCGGAGAAUGAUUCCCCUCCUGUGGCUGACAUAAGAGUGACACUGCGUGAUUUGAAGCCUCAUAUUACCACAUAUAAAACCAUGGACUCCAUAAAUCAGAAAAGGCAAACACAAGUGAAAAUUCAAACAAUAUGUGGCUCUGACUUUCAUGUCCUAGUCAACUUAAGACGGCUCAGCGGAGAGGCCGGGCACGCAGAAGCAAUUGCACAACCCCGCUUUUCCCCCGUAACCCAAGACAGGUGGAAACCACAAAUCAAAAACUGUGAAGGAGCACAAAAUAUUCCUGUUAUCUUCCGAGCUGCUGACAGCCUAUACAUCUUCAUUCCCAUCGUGCUUCAGCAUGCUUUUUCGCCAGCUUGAUAACAACAUUUAGCAGUAUACAUCCAUCCCAAUAAUCCAUCACUGUACCAAGAUGACGGUGCUAUAUGAAAACAGGAACUCAUCAUCACUGAUACAGUAGUUUUUUGUCGGGUGUGACAAAUGGAGUAUUCUACUGUACACACUUUGUCUAAAACUCCCUAGAGAAGAAACCAAAUCGGGGUGUUGUGAACAAGUUUGGAAGUGAAAUGCGACAUGAAGAAGUCAAAGUUUAUGCAGAUAUCAGCGGGUAAUGCUUGAUGCUCAGUGAGACUGAAAAAGGAAAGGGUAUUUUGCAUUACUCUCUUGUUGAGAACCUGGUCUGAUAAUCAACUUAAAAUACUAAAUAACAUGAAAUAAAACAUACCAGUCACCAUUUGGUUUACUUGAAAUACUGUCCACAGUUAGGUGUACAGUACUUUUCUGGUGUAUCAGGAUCUUAUACGGUCUAGUAGCAAUGGGUGGGUACCAUGAAAUGCUGCCAAGAAUGCAGGCAGGGACUUUAAACCCGGAUAGGCCAGCAUGGCCAGAUGGUCUGAGACGGUGGUUGAGAAAACUCUGGUCUUACCUGCUGAUUUUGGAGUGAACUUGUCCCUGUUGGCAGCGCACACGGCCAGGAGCCGGUAGCCCAGGUCCAAGUCGUAGCCCUGCUGUGCUGCUACGCGGCUGACCACCUGAACACAAUGACAGCAUGCAGUCAGGACAAUGUCAGAUAUUCUGUUCCAUUAUGGAAAUAACUUUGUAAGAUUUAAAGCUUUUUUUAAAAUAUAGAUAUUUUAUUUCUUGAAAAACGUUUACCACCACACACACUGUAAUAUGAUACAACUACAAAUAGGUCAAAAUUAAAGAUAAGAGGUCAAUGAAUGCAUUUUUGAAUACCGACAUGGUGAUUCAUAGAUUUGUGGAUAAUUGUGUUCUUUUUAUUUGAAACUGACACAAAAUAAAAAACAUUAAAUCUU